UAGAGCUUGAUCCUGGCUCAGAUUGAACGCUGGCGGCAGGCCUAACACAUGCAAGUCGAGCGGCAGCACGGGUACUUGUACCUGGUGGCGAGCGGCGGACGGGUGAGUAAUGCCUAGGAAUCUGCCUGGUAGUGGGGGAUAACGCUCGGAAACGGACGCUAAUACCGCAUACGUCCUACGGGAGAAAGCAGGGGACCUUCGGGCCUUGCGCUAUCAGAUGAGCCUAGGUCGGAUUAGCUAGUUGGUGAGGUAAUGGCUCACCAAGGCGACGAUCCGUAACUGGUCUGAGAGGAUGAUCAGUCACACUGGAACUGAGACACGGUCCAGACUCCUACGGGAGGCAGCAGUGGGGAAUAUUGGACAAUGGGCGAAAGCCUGAUCCAGCCAUGCCGCGUGUGUGAAGAAGGUCUUCGGAUUGUAAAGCACUUUAAGUUGGGAGGAAGGGCAUUUCACCUAAUACGUAAGUGUUUUGACGUUACCGACAGAAUAAGCACCG
rnacentral:rRNA from 1 species